UCGAUUCCCUUAGUAGCGGCGAGCGAAACGGGAAGAGCCCAAACCAACAAGCUUGCUUGUUGGGGUUGUAGGACACUCUAUACGGAGUUACAAAGGACGACAUUAGACGAAUCAUCUGGAAAGAUGAAUCAAAGAAGGUAAUAAUCCUGUAGUCGAAAAUGUUGUCUCUCUUGAGUGGAUCCUGAGUACGACGGAGCACGUGAAAUUCCGUCGGAAUCUGGGAGGACCAUCUCCUAAGGCUAAAUACUCUCUAGUGACCGAUAGUGAACCAGUACCGUGAGGGAAAGGUGAAAAGCACCCCGGAAGGGGAGUGAAAUAGAACCUGAAACCGUGUGCUUACAAGUAGUCAGAGCCCGUUAAUGGGUGAUGGCGUGCCUUUUGUAGAAUGAACCGGCGAGUUACGAUUUGAUGCAAGGUUAAGCAGUAAAUGUGGAGCCGUAGCGAAAGCGAGUCUGAAUAGGGCGUUUAGUAUUUGGUCGUAGACCCGAAACCAGGUGAUCUACCCUUGGUCAGGUUGAAGUUCAGGUAACACUGAAUGGAGGACCGAACCGACUUACGUUGAAAAGUGAGCGGAUGAACUGAGGGUAGCGG
rnacentral:rRNA from 1 species